rnacentral:rRNA from 1 species
GAUGAACGCUGGCGGCGUGCUUAACACAUGCAAGUCGAACGGAAAGGCUCCUGCUUGCAGGGGUACUCGAGUGGCGAACGGGUGAGUAACACGUGGGUGAUCUGCCCUGCACUUCGGGAUAAGCCUGGGAAACUGGGUCUAAUACCGGAUAGGACGAUGGUUUGGAUGCCAUUGUGGAAAGUUUUUUCGGUGUGGGAUGAGCUCGCGGCCUAUCAGCUUGUUGGUGGGGUAAUGGCCUACCAAGGCGUCGACGGGUAGCCGGCCUGAGAGGGUGUACGGCCACAUUGGGACUGAGAUACGGCCCAGACUCCUACGGGAGGCAGCAGUGGGGAAUAUUGCACAAUGGGCGCAAGCCUGAUGCAGCGACGCCGCGUGGGGGAUGACGGCCUUCGGGUUGUAAACUCCUUUCGCUAGGGACGAAGCGCAAGUGACAGUACCUGGAGAAGAAGCACCGGCUAACUACGUG